rnacentral:rRNA from 2 species
AGACCCGAAACCCGGUGAUCUAGCCAUGGGCAGGUUGAAGGUUGGGUAACACUAACUGGAGGACCGAACCGACUAAUGUUGAAAAAUUAGCGGAUGACCUGUGGCUGGGGGUGAAAGGCCAAUCAAACCGGGAGAUAGCUGGUUCUCCCCGAAAGCUAUUUAGGUAGCGCCUCGUGAAUUCAUCUCCGGGGGUAGAGCACUGUUUCGGCUAGGGGGCCAUCCCGGCUUACCAACCCGAUGCAAACUGCGAAUACCGGAGAAUGUUAUCACGGGAGACACACGGCGGGUGCUAACGUCCGUCGUGAAGAGGGAAACAACCCAGACCGCCAGCUAAGGUCCCAAAGUCAUGGUUAAGUGGGAAACGAUGUGGGAAGGCCCAGACAGCCAGGAUGUUGGCUUAGAAGCAGCCAUCAUUUAAAGAAAGCGUAAUAGCUCACUGGUCGAGUCGGCCUGCGCGGAAGAUGUAACGGGGCUAAACCAUGCACCGAAGCUGCGGCAGCGACACUCAGGUGUUGUUGGGUAGGGGAGCGUUCUGUAAGCCUGCGAAGGUGGCCUGUGAGGGUUGCUGGAGGUAUCAGAAGUGCGAAUGCUGACAUAAGUAACGAUAAAGCGGGUGAAAAGCCCGCUCGCCGGAAGACCAAGGGUUCCUGUCCAACGUUAAUCGGGGCAGGGUGAGUCGACCCCUAAGGCGAGGCCGAAAGGCGUAGUCGAUGGGAAACGGGUUAAUAUUCCCGUACUUGGUGUUACUGCGAAGGGGGGACGGAGAAGGCUAUGUUGGCCGGGCGACGGUUGUCCCGGUUUAAGCGUGUAGGUGUGUGUUCCAGGUAAAUCCGGUUCACUUUAACACUGAGGCGUGAUGACGAGGCACUACGGUGCUGAAGCAACAAAUGCCCUGCUUCCAGGAAAAGCCUCUAAGCAUCAGGUAACAUCAAAUCGUACCCCAAACCGACACAGGUGGUCAGGUAGAGAAUACCAAGGCGCUUGAGAGAACUCGGGUGAAGGAACUAGGCAAAAUGGUGCCGUAACUUCGGGAGAAGGCACGCUGACACGUAGGUGAAGUGAUUUACUCAUGGAGCUGAAGUCAGUCGAAGAUACCAGCUGGCUGCAACUGUUUAUUAAAAACACAGCACUGUGCAAACACGAAAGUGGACGUAUACGGUGUGACGCCUGCCCGGUGCCGGAAGGUUAAUUGAUGGGGUCAGCGCAAGCGAAGCUCCUGAUCGAAGCCCCGGUAAACGGCGGCCGUAACUAUAACGGUCCUAAGGUAGCGAAAUUCCUUGUCGGGUAAGUUCCGACCUGCACGAAUGGCGUAAUGAUGGCCAGGCUGUCUCCACCCGAGACUCAGUGAAAUUGAACUCGCUGUGAAGAUGCAGUGUACCCGCGGCAAGACGGAAAGACCCCGUGAACCUUUACUAUAGCUUGACACUGAACAUUGAGCCUUGAUGUGUAGGAUAGGUGGGAGGCUUUGAAGUGUGGACGCCAGUCUGCAUGGAGCCGGCCUUGAAAUACCACCCUUUAAUGUUUGAUGUUCUAACGUGGACCCGUGAUCCGGGUUGCGGACAGUGUCUGGUGGGUAGUUUGACUGGGGCGGUCUCCUCCUAAAGAGUAACGGAGGAGCACGAAGGUUGGCUAAUCCUGGUCGGACAUCAGGAGGUUAGUGCAAUGGCAUAAGCCAGCUUGACUGCGAGCGUGACGGCGCGAGCAGGUGCGAAAGCAGGUCAUAGUGAUCCGGUGGUUCUGAAUGGAAGGGCCAUCGCUCAACGGAUAAAAGGUACUCCGGGGAUAACAGGCUGAUACCGCCCAAGAGUUCAUAUCGACGGCGGUGUUUGGCACCUCGAUGUCGGCUCAUCACAUCCUGGGGCUGAAGUAGGUCCCAAGGGUAUGGCUGUUCGCCAUUUAAAGUGGUACGCGAGCUGGGUUUAGAACGUCGUGAGACAGUUCGGUCCCUAUCUGCCGUGGGCGCUGGAGAACUGAGGGGGGCUGCUCCUAGUACGAGAGGACCGGAGUGGACGCAUCACUGGUGUUCGGGUUGUCAUGCCAAUGGCACUGCCCGGUAGCUAAAUGCGGAAGAGAUAAGUGCUGAAAGCAUCUAAGCACGAAACUUGCCCCGA